CUGCACGAAGCCGGAGUUGCUAGUAAUCGCGAAUCAGAAUGUCGCGGUGAAUGCGUUCCCGGGUCUUGUACACACCGCCCGUCACACCAUGGAAGUUGGGGGUGCCCAAAGCCGGCAAGCAAAUAUGCUGUCUAAGGCAAAACCAAUGACUGGGUGAAGUCGUAACAAGGUACC
rnacentral:rRNA from 1 species